rnacentral:rRNA from 1 species
UACGAAGGGUGCAAGCGUUAAUCGGAAUUACUGGGCGUAAAGUGCGCGUAGGUGGUUCAGUAAGUUGGAUGUGAAAUCCCCGGGCUCAACCUGGGAACUGCAUCCAAAACUGCUGAGCUAGAGUACGGUAGAGGGUGGUGGAAUUUCCUGUGUAGCGGUGAAAUGCGUAGAUAUAGGAAGGAACACCAGUGGCGAAGGCGACCACCUGGACUGAUACUGACACUGAGGUGCGAAAGCGUGGGGAGCAAACAGG